GCUGUGACAUUCAGGAUUGACACAGGAAAUUUACUUUAUUUGGCUGCAACAUUUACAGAUCCUUGAUAAGGCUUUUAAUGCAUGUCUGCAGUGGGGCUGCUCCUAGUCCAAAUGAAGAGAGGGUUUGGAGGCUGGGAUAUUCUUAAGGGGACAGUGUGUAGUUAAUUCGUUGUGCUGGGAUGCAGCACAUCACAGCACAGGCAGCUAAUGUGGGAUCCAAUUCCCUCAAGCCUCAGCCAGCAUCAUCAGGAAUGAUGUGAAUUGUAGUCCAACAUGUUGGAGGGUACCACACUGGCUGCCCCUGCGCAAGAGGCUUCUGGAGUUAUUUCUGUUCUUUAAUGAGAGUGGCACCUGUAAGAUACAAAACAGCUCCUGGUGUUCUCAGUCUAUACACGACAGAGAGGUAUACUAUAAAUAUUUGGUUUAACAAAUGCAGAUGUGGAAGAGAUCCCGGGGGGGGGGCGGAAUGAGGAUAGAAGGUAGGUUGAGCUGUUAGCUGCCCAACCCUUACCAGUGGUAUCCUUUGAUAAUCCAUCCUCCUUCAAUAUCCAUCCUUUGCACUACUAUUCUUUUGCUCCCAUCUUUUAUCUCCUUGUAAUAUGAAGCCAAGUCAACAGCUAGCCACAGAACAAAGAGAGGAAGCUGGGAGGUGAUAUAAAAUCUCAGCAAGGACCAGUGUUUUCAUUGCCAAACAUAUUUACAAAAGGGAUGUUCCUUCAAGAUGAGGCUAUUCUGCCUUCCCCUGUCUUGUUUGCUCACUCACACAUGGAGUCCAUCCUGAAAGAGAAUGUAAAGUAAAUCAUGUGGGAUAAACAGAGCCAAACCAUCACCAGUGACAAAUUAAAGUUUAGUAGAUGUGAAUUGUUAGGGGUCACAAUGAGGUCUGAAUCCACGUUUCUUGAAGUAAAACUUCGUUUCUGGAGUCUGAAGGUUCCCUGGUUUGUCCUAAAAGACUGCAACCACUGUUCCAGCUCUACCUUUCGGGCCAGAGGUGAAACUAGGGCUGGACCUUGGGGCUAAAGUCCAGGACUCCACAAUCCAGGGUAGGAUUGCCAGUCUUUUAGGUCAGUGGGAACUUCAAGUUUGGCUGCUGAUCCCUAUGGAGCAUAUGUACUUUCAGUGUUACCAUAGCUAUGUAGGAAUCACUUUUUCCAUUUAGUAAAAUGCUUGAAUGGCCCAACCAAGUGGUUGGGUUCUGAUCAUGGUCCUCACAGUGUUUAAAGGGUCUUAAGUGGGGAACCGGAGUUUGCUUCAAUUCAUUGUAUCAAAGGAUGCUUAGCAGAAGGAUUGAGAGCUAGAAGUCUGCAAUCAUACGCCCUUGCAGCUUUGUCAAGUACAGAGGAGGUGGCAUUUCGGAGACUGUUAAUUGUAGGGAAUUGAUAAGUCCCUGCAGAUCGUCAUUCAGGUAGCUUUGCAAACCAGUGGGAAAUGAGUUUCUUGCUUAGCUUAGCUUCACUUGGUACCAGCCUGCACAUGAGGAAACUGGAAUGAGCUUUAUUAAUGCCUUCAACUGGAUAAUCCAUCAUCCCCUCAACAAUGCAUUUCUGACAGUUAAUUAGAUGCCACACAGUGGAAUCACUAAGGCCGUGUUUGGAAUAGUAAUCCCUUACUGAAUGACAGACCAUGCAAGCCAUCUCGCCAGCAUCAGACCUUGGACAUCUUAAGUGCUUUUCAUCCCUGAAGUCUUUUUAACCGUGUUUGGUAAAUAUUUCUGCUGCCUCCUUCCAAAUGGCUUCAUUAGCAGCGAGGGGACAGGACUGAGUUCACUGGAAGCAAGCCAGGAGUCAUUAACACUAUGAAAUUGUCUACUCAAAGAUGUGGCAACAACCAGUAGGCGCCAUGGCUUUUGAAAUGGGGUUGGACAAACCCACAGCAGAUAGGUCAGUCAAUAGCUAUCUGAAGAGAGCCUUCAUGUUCAAAAGCAUUAUAAUUCUAUGCACCAGAAAGUAGGGGCAAACUACAGGAUACAGACCUGUCAACAUUGCGUCCUAGGGUUCUAGAUCAGUAUAGUGAAGCUGUGAACCACCCUCCACCAGUGUUGGUCUCCAGCUCCCAUCAGCCUCACCUGAUGGUUGGGGAUUAUGGGGCUUGUAGUCCAAAAACACCCAGAAGGCUACAGGUUCCCCAUCCUUGUUCUGAAGGUAUAUUGGUGGCUUCAAUUGGAAACAAAUUAUUACAUGCUAGGUGCUAAGUGAAUGAGUUUGCAGCUGGCAUGUUUUCAAAGACGGAUGUGGAGCCUCUGGCCCAGAUACUGAAUGUGGCCCUCAAGACCUCUCUAUUGUCCCUCCUAACUCUCCCCAAGCCACACCCCCUCACUGGCCCUGCUUUCCCUCCCAAUGGUUUUUGCCAGGCUGGAAUGAAUCCUUAAGCUCAGAUGAUUACCUCUUGCCUGUCUGGAGGGAGGAUACAGAGGUGGGAGUGUGUGUCUGUUCAAACGAGCCUACUAUAUGAUGUUUUUAUAUGUUUUGGAAGCCGUCCAGAGCAGCUGGGGCAACCCAGCCAAAUGGGUGGGGUAUAAAGAAUAAAAAAAAUUAUUAUUAUUAUUAUUAUUAUUAUUAUUAUUAUUAUACAAAGGUAACAUUUGCAUUAGCUGCUCACUUAGAGCUUGUCCACUCUUGCAUUUGCCCCAUGGCUAGAAAGCACAUGUCCAAGUGGUUUUGUGUUUGCCUUGCAGCUUUCCCCUGGAGAACAUGCUGUAUGCCACUGAAUCAGAACAAAUGGAAAAUUCAAUUGCUAUUUGGUCCAAUUCAGCAGUAAACCACAGGUUAUCCUGGAGGAAAGCAGCAGGGCAAACAGAGGGGUAGAUGAACCCCCACUUCUGCCUCUGGCUCCACCUACCAUUGGCGUAGAGCCCUCAGUUGGCUCCCCCAAAGGGGAUGUGUCCUUUUAGUUGUAAAAGGUUUGUUGCCCAUUUUUUCCACAAACACCUUGUGGGAUAUUUACAAGUCAGCAGAGAGCUGACAGCAUAAAGCUUUUCUGCCACUGCCCUGGAUGUCCAUGCAAUGCCACCCCAUGAGCAAAGCUUUUCCUUCUUAUUGUUUCUUCUGCCAGAAAUUGGAAAGCUGUUUGUGCCUGGACUUGAAAGCUGCAGGUCUGGUGUUAUCGACCAGCUUCUGCAUCUCAGGCUGAGAGAGAGAAAAGAGAGUCCUAUGGAGAAAACGAUGACAGCGUGGACUGAGGGCAGAAGCUUUACAUGCUCCCAUUUAUUGCCUGCUGGCUGAAGGCGUGCUCUCAGCCAGUGGGAAAGGAGAUGCCUUAACCAACCAAUCAGCAAUGGAGAAGCAGCAACAGCCAAUUCAGCAAUGUGCAAUUAAGUAGUAAUGGAUUGCCAUCUGAGCCCGCUGCAAAGGGGGCAAACGUGGCACACUCUUUCACCUGAGCAGAUGGCACUACAAUGCUACACAUUUGUCCUUUUUAUGAAAACCCCUCUUAAACAUGGAUUGAUAUAACCCCAGUAGGCCCCUGUAUUCUUGUUACUCCCUGUGCCAUCGCUAGGGAAUACGCAUCUCUGAUUCUGCAUGUGUUUAACCCGC